rnacentral:rRNA from 1 species
UACAGAGGGGGCAAGCGUUAUUCGGAAUUAUUGGGCGUAAAGGGCGCGUAGGCGGCCUGGCAAGUGGAAGGUGAAAUCCCUCGGCUUAACCGGGGAAUGGCGUCCGAUACUGGAUGGCUUGAGUUUGGGAGAGGGAUGCGGAAUUCCAGGUGUAGCGGUGAAAUGCGUAGAUAUCUGGAGGAACACCGGUGGCGAAGGCGGCAUCCUGGACCAACACUGACGCUGAGGAGCGAAAGCCAGGGGAGCAAACGGG